rnacentral:rRNA from 1 species
CAGUCGCCACGGGAAUACAGAGGGUGCGAGCGUUAAUCGGAUUUACUGGGCGUAAAGCGUGCGUAGGCGGCUCGAUAAGUCUGCUGUGAAAGUCCAGGGCUCAACCCUGGAAUGCCGGUGGAAACUGUCGAGCUCGAGUCCGGAAGAGGCAAGUGGAAUUCCUGGUGUAGCGGUGAAAUGCGCAGAUAUCAGGAGGAACACCAAUGGCGAAGGCAGCUUGCUGGGACGGUACUGACGCUGAGACGCGAAAGCGUGGGGAGCAAACAGGAUUAGAUACCCCCGUAGUCCCUGUCUCUUAUAC